CACGUAGGGCGCAAGCGUUGUCCAGAAUCAUUGGGCGUAAAGAGCUCGUAGGCGGUUUGUUACGUCUGCUGUGAAAUCUGGGGGCUUAACCCCCAGCUUGCAGUGGAUACGGGCAGACUAGAGGUAGGUAGGGGAGAAUGGAAUUCUCGGUGUAGCGGUGAAAUGCGCAGAUAUCGGGAGGAACACCGGUGGCGAAGGCGGUUCUCUGGGCCUUACCUGACGCUGAGGAGCGAAAGCGUGGGGAG
rnacentral:rRNA from 1 species